CCUACAGGGGGCAGCAGUGGGGAAUAUUGGACAAUGGGCGAAAGCCUGAUCCAGCCAUGCCGCGUGUGUGAAGAAGGCCUUCGGGUUGUAAAGCACUUUCAGUGGGGAAGAAAGCCUUGGGGCUAAUACCCUCGAGGAAGGACAUCACCCACAGAAGAAGCACCGGCUAACUCCGUGCCAGCAGCCGCGGUAAUACGGAGGGUGCGAGCGUUAAUCGGAAUUACUGGGCGUAAAGCGCGCGUAGGCGGUCUGAUAAGCCGGUUGUGAAAGCCCCGGGCUCAACCUGGGAACGGCAUCCGGAACUGUCAGGCUAGAGUGCAGGAGAGGAAGGUAGAAUUCCCGGUGUAGCGGUGAAAUGCGUAGAGAUCGGGAGGAAUACCAGUGGCGAAGGCGGCCUUCUGGACUGACACUGACGCUGAGGUGCGAAAGCGUGGGUAGCAAACAGGAUUAGAUACCCCGGUAGUC
rnacentral:rRNA from 1 species